rfam:Oesophagostomum dentatum strain OD-Hann O_dentatum-1.0_Cont5356.1, whole genome shotgun sequence.
AGCUUUGCGCAGAGGCGAGAACGUGACCAAUGAGGCUAUGCCGAGGUGCGUUUAUUGCUGGUGUGAAAACUUUCCACGGUCACACAGAAUCGUAUAGACCUCAUCGUUGUCUCUAUGAGCAGAUUAGAUUUUUUAAUAAACGCCGCUUUGAAGGUUUACUGCGUU